AUUUCCCUAGAUAACGGCGAGUGAAGAGGAAAGAGCUCAAAGUUGGAACCUGUUUGGCUUAGCUAAACCGGAUUGUAAACUGUAGAAGCGUUUUCCAGGCGCACCAAGCAAAUAAGUCCUUUGGAACAGGGCAUCAUAGAGGGUGAGAAUCCCGUCUUUGGCUUGAGUUGUCGUCUAUUGUGAUACGUUUUCAAAGAGUCAGGUUGUUUGGGAAUGCAGCCUAAAUUGGGUGGUAAAUCUCACCUAAAGCUAAAUAUUUGCGAGAGACCGAUAGCGAACAAGUACCGUGAGGGAAAGAUGAAAAGAACUUUGAAAAGAGAGUUAAACAGUAUGUGAAAUUGUUAAAAGGGAACCGUUUGGUGCCAGACUGGCUUGAUUGUAAUCAACCUGGGCUUCGGCUCGGGUGCACUUGCAGUCUAUGCCUGCCAACAACAGUUUGGUUUGGAGGAAAAAAUUAUAAGGAAUGUGGCCCCUUUUGGGGUGUUAUAGCCUUAUUUCAUACUCUGGACUGGACUGAGGAUCGCAGUGAAUGCCUUUAGGCAAGAUUGCUGGGUGCUUUCGCUGAUAAAUGCUAGAAUUUCUGCUUUGGGUGGUGCUAGUGUUUAAAGGAGGAACUCGCUUGGUAUAUUUUUUAUUCGCUUAGGUUGUUGGCUUAAUGACACUAAAUGACCCGUCUUGAAACACGGACCAAGGAGUCCACCAUAAGUGCAAGUAUUUGGGUGACAAACCCAUAUGCGUAAGGAAACUGAUUGAUACGAAACCUUUUGGGUGGCAGUAUCACCCGGCGCUGACGUUUUAUACUGAAUUGACCGAGGUAAAGCACUUAUGAUGGGACCCGAAAGAUGGUGAACUAUGCCUGAAUAGGGUGAAGCCAGAGGAAACUCUGGUGGAGGCUCGUAGCGAUUCUGACGUGCAAAUCGAUCGUCAAAUUUGGGUAUAGGGGCGAAAGACUAAUCGAACCAUCUAGUAGCUGGUUCCUGCCGA
rnacentral:rRNA from 1 species